GUCCAGGAGGAACGUACUGAAUAUCAAGAAUACUUCAGAGGAUCCUGGAGCAGACAUGGUACCUCCACAUAACACAGUGCACCUUGAUGAUAUUAGCAUCCACUGCCAAUAAGCAUAAAAGUAAUCAUGGGAAAGCAAAUGAAAGAACAUUCAAAACAAGCAAGUUUAGAAGGCAAAAAACUUUAUUGAGAAUGUAUGGAUUGAAUGUACUCCACAUAAGAGGCAUGGCUAAAUGAAUGUUCAUCAAGGCCUGAGAUGUGUGACCCUAAGAAACAAGACUGAUGGUUUAAUAAAGAACCAACAAAGACCAAGAAAAAAGAUGAAAAUGCUAACACUGAAAGAUAAAACACCGGCUGCAGGAUGUGGGAGAAAUGUCUACUAACUGUAAAGCAUGUGGUUUGAGGUGUUCAUCUGCAAGGACGUGUAUUGAGAAAACAAAAUGGUGGUUGGCCUAUGCUUUUCUCAUGAAGCAGAGCAACUCCAGCAGCCUGAGAGAAGGCAGAAAGACACAUAGAUUAAUUUAUCUUGCUCAGAGAUACAGAGUCUGUCUAAGAAGAAUUGAAUAUGUGAGUGCUGUCUUUUGAGAUGGACAUAGAACUCUUUCUUCCCCUACCCCAACCCAAAUUUCUAGAUUUAUUUGGAGACAACAAUCUCCCUAAAACAACAUGGUGGGUGUAUGUGUGUGUGUAGCAAAUGCAUUAUAUAAGGCUGGCUCCUCAUAAGUAAUAAAUAAAAUAAUAAAGAUGUGAGUGGAAAACAAAAGAGU
rnacentral:lncRNA from 1 species